AACCUGCGGAGGGGAUCAUUA
rnacentral:rRNA from 1 species